CCCUUAGAUGUUCUGGGCUGCACGCGCGCUACACUGAUGCACUCAACGAGUUUACGACCUUGCCCGAUAGGGUUGGGUAAUCUUUUUAAAAUGCAUCGUGAUGGGGAUAGAUUAUUGCAAUUAUUAAUCUUCAACGAGGAAUUCCUAGUAAGCGCGAGUCAUCAGCUCGUGCUGAUUACGUCCCUGCCCUUUGUACACACCGCCCGUCGCUCCUACCGAUUGAAUGAUCCGAUGAAUAUCAUGGAUUGAGGAUUAUAGCAGGUUCGCCUGUCUUGAUCUUCGAGAAGUGAAGUAAAUCUUAUCAUUUAGAGGAAGGAGAAGUCGUAACA
rnacentral:rRNA from 1 species